rnacentral:lncRNA from 10 species
AAAAGAAUGAGCAGCACACACUCAGCACUGAGGAAGGAAAUGUUCAUCUGGAGAAGACAGGCCCAAGAGUGACUGCUGUCUCCACACACCUAGUGGCACUCUUGGCCAGGAGGGACUGUCCUUUUCUGUGGUUCCAAAGGAAGAACCAGGAUCAAUGAGUGGAAAUUCAACGAACACUGACUUUGGUCAGGUCUGAUUACUGAUUACCUUGAGCACUGCGCCUUUGCUGUGAGUAAAGUUCAAAAGCUUCUAAGUUUGAAACUGGCCUCCUCCUCAACCACGGAAGAAAAGUCUACCAUCAUUUAUUGUGGAGAUGACUAGAAAUUGUAAGACCUGGAGAGAAUGGAAUGUACCAGCCCUGGGAAAAACUAAAAGUUUCUGUUUAUUCACUUAACUUGGGUGCCACUUUAAGAAUAUUUACAUUCUCAAUUAUAAUGUGCAGAAAUCCCCGUGGUUUUCCAAUCCUGACUACAUUCCCCAACAUUAACUGCUUCUUUACAGAGACAGUAAUAAAUAUGGUUGUUUACACCUCUGUACCUCAUAAAGACCUCCAAGCAUUCUGUACACCAGCUCAAGAUGACUUGCUUGAAAUGGAAAAAGGCUGUUUUCAGCAGUAGUUAGCCCCUAUACUGGCAGUGUUUCACAGAAAAGGAAAGUGAAGCUUGGAAAAGUGAAACCACUUGCUCUAAGUGGCAGGAAGAGGUGGCGUUGAACCCCAGGGCUCUUGCAUUCAAAAGCUCUUUUGGAAAGAGAAAAGGAAAAGUGCAGCUGACUGAACUGUGAAGCAAAGGAGCUAAGAAGCCUGGAUGCCAACCCCAAGGGUCCUGAAGAGUCCCAUUGAGGAGCUCCUUACAGCAGAAAGCCCAUUUCUCAGAGGCACAUACAUGGUCCAGAGCCAAGAAGGUCCAGAAAGCAAGACUGCAUCCUUCACCAAGGAAGGUGAUUGUGAUGUGGACACUUCAAGGGGGAACAAAAAAAAAUCUUCCUUUGAAAACCUAACAUUGGCUCUGCCAAUUCAAUUUCACCGAGGUCCUUUGAGAACUGAGUUCAAAGGUUCUCUACAGCUUCCAUUUACUUUGGCAUAAGAUUUAACAGAAAAAGAAUUAAGGGAGAAUUUAUAUGGGCCAGGCUGUUUUCCAAAUCUCAGACUGCUAAAAGUUAUUUAGAAUUUGCUUUAACUUGCAAUCCUAUGUAAAGUGGUUCAGAUGUAAAUGCUUUCCGUGUGGCCUGAGGCAAUCUAGGUUUCCUCAAAUGCACAUGUGCCAUUCGAAUAUUAAAGAUUUUGAUUGGAAAUCUCAAAGUACAUUGGGUUCCUCUUGAUUAGAGACUGCUGUUACUUUAUGCGACAUUGGGUCAGAGGAGGAGAAAUAAAACAUACUGCCUUCAUUUGGGCAUUAUAUUCUCACAGUAGCUCUAACAUAAACAAACUUCACAGGCUGAGAGAAGGGCAUUUGCUCCUUUAAAUUGAGUAUGUAAUGUAAAUAAAUGUCUUCUAAGAAAGGAUGGCUGAAACUUGAUUCUGAGUCUGAACCUAUACAAGGG